AGAGUUUGAUUAUGGCUCAGAACGAACGCUGGCGGCGCGCCUAAUACAUGCAAGUCGAGCGAGAAGGUGUAGCAAUACACUUGUAAAGCGGCGAACGGGUGAGGAAUACAUGGGUAAUCUACCAUCGAGUGGGGAAUAACCAACCGAAAGGUUGGCUAAUACCGCGUACGCUUCUGAGCCUUCGGGUUCGGAAGGAAAGCCGUACUGUGAGUGCGGCGCUCUUUGAUGAGCUCAUGUCCUAUCAGCUUGUUGGUAGGGUAACGGCCUACCAAGGCUUUGACGGGUAGCUGGUCUGAGAGGACGAUCAGCCACACUGGCACUGCGACACGGGCCAGACUCCUACGGGAGGCAGCAGUAAGGAAUAUUGCGCAAUGGGCGAAAGCCUGACGCAGCGACGCCGCGUGGGGGAUGAAGGUCUUCGGAUUGUAAACCCCUUUCGGGAGGGAAGAUGGAGCGAGCAAUCGUUCGGACGGUACCUCCAGAAGCAGCCACGGCCAACUUCGUGCCAGCAGCCGCGGUAAUACGAAGGUGGCAAGCGUUGUUCGGAUUCACUGGGCGUACAGGGUGUGUAGGCGGUUUGGUAAGCCUUCUGUUAAAGCUUCGGGCCCAACCCGGAAAGCGCAGAGGGUACUGCCAGGCUAGAGGGUGGGAGAGGAGCGCGGAAUUCCCGGUGUAGCGGUGAAAUGCGUAGAGAUCGGGAGGAAGGCCGGUGGCGAAGGCGGCGCUCUGGAACAUACCUGACGCUGAGACACGAAAGCGUGGGGAGCAAACAGGAUUAGAUACCCUGGUAGUCCACGCCCUAAACUAUGGAUACUAAGUGUCGGCGGGUUACCGCCGGUGCCGCAGCUAACGCAUUAAGUAUCCCGCCUGGGAAGUACGGCCGCAAGGUUGAAACUCAAAUGAAUUGACGG
rnacentral:rRNA from 1 species